GAAACCUCCAUACCAUAAUCUGCACAUGAAGAGAAAUAAUGAAUAACAGAUGUCUUGCAGCCUCUUGCAACUUAAAAACUAUGACACGAUGAUGCAUGCACACAAAUUAUAAAGCUAUCUUAUUAAUCAUCGUUACCCUUCAGAAACUAAAUGUAAAAUUCCAAAUGCAUUUUAUAUAAACAUUGGAUAUCAAAGCCAUGCCACAAGUUCUCUGCCAGAGUUUAAAUCAAAGACCUUAGAUCCCAUCUAACUACUAUAAGUGGAUUGAAAACCGUAUAUUGUAAAGCCAGACGUCUAAAAGAAGAAAAUAUCAUCCUCCUUCAAGAUAAGAACUGAACAAAAAAUAUUACAAGAAAUAUUAUAAAAUGAGAAACAUCAAACUGAUCUUUCAAACCUCAAAUAAACCACAGACAAAGUUCAGCAUAAUGUUGUUUGAACAUGCCAAAAAUAUUUGGAAAAGUGGAGCUCAAAUGUUUGUACUAACUUUAUAAAAUUAUAACUAAUAAAUAUAAGUCAGAGAAGAGGACAUUGCUUUUACUGUCGUAAUAUUUAAAAGGUAAAAUUUACAUUUUGAUUGCGAUCCUCACUUUAAAACAGACUUUAAAAACGUUUCCUAAUUUAAUAAAAUUAUAAUGAACAUACACAUCAUCAAUGCAAAAAAAAUCCUACCAAAACACAGAUAAUGAAAUGCCAGGUGUUCUGAAUAUCAAUAUGAAUCAGUUUACUUCCAUGCAAUUUCUAGUUCAUAGGGGAAAACUCUGCCUUUUACAACUAAAACAGCCACAAUGAUUCUUUCAGUUUAUAUAAAAGCCAUCAUUGACAAUCUUCAAGAAACUAGAAGUUUACUUUGAAGCAAAUCAUAACUAAAUGGUUAAUAUCUUCUAUACAAUGCGUGGUGAAUAAAACGCUAUAUACAAUGGAAGAACAAGAAAAAUCUAAUAAGAAAACACUACAUACUAGAUAGAAAUGCAACAAAAAGUAAUAGGCUAAUUGCAAUGUCUGUUUAUAGU
rnacentral:misc_RNA from 1 species